AGGACGAACGCUGGCGGCGCGCCUAACACAUGCAAGUCGAACGGAGCUUGCACUUCUGAAGUUUCGGAUGGACGAGGUACAAGCUUAGUGGCGAACGGGUGAGUAACACGUGAAGAACCUGCCCUUCAGUGGGGGACAACAGUUGGAAACGACUGCUAAUACCGCAUAAGACCACAGUACCGCAUGGUACAGUGAUCAAAGGAUUUAUUCGCUGAAGGAUGGCUUCGCGUCCGAUUAGGUAGUUGGUGAGGUAACGGCCCACCAAGCCUACGAUCGGUAGCCGGACUGAGAGGUUGAUCGGCCACAUUGGGACUGAGACACGGCCCAGACUCCUACGGGAGGCAGCAGUGGGGAAUAUUGCACAAUGGAGGAAACUCUGAUGCAAGCGACGCCGCGUGAGGGAAGAAGGUCUUCGGAUUGUAAACCUCUGUCUUCAGGGACGAUAAUGACGGUACCUGAGGAGGAAGCACCGGCUAACUACGUGCCAGCAGCAGC
rnacentral:rRNA from 1 species